rnacentral:piRNA from 1 species
UGACAGAGGCAUUCCCUACCAAACAAAGGCA